GGGAACAGAGCUAGGGUUCUUGAGGUGCGAUUGGCGAUUGCCGAUGACGCAACCGACGUCGCCGGUGCAAUCCUCCAUGGCUUCGCUUUCCGCUGAUUCAUCUUCUUCUCGCAGCGGUGGGCUUCGAAGGAGAGGCGGGGCCGCAAGGUUUCCUGUACCUUAUUUGGAGCAAGCGAUGGAUUACCAGCCGACGGUGAACUGCGCUCGCUUCGGUAGGAAGGCGCCGCGGUGGAUAUCUUGGAGUCCGGCGAACUUGGCAGGACAUAUUAUGCGUGCGUAGUUUCUCAGGAGAUCUACGAGACGAAGUGUAGAUGCUGGAAGAUGAGAUUGCUGGAUAGUCAAGGGAAGGAGAGGUUGUUGUUCGGAGAUAGGAACUACAGAAGAAAAAUGCAUUAGUUCCAGAAAAGAGAGCUAGAUGUCACAGGAAAGAUGAGAUGCAGAUGUACAAGUAUAUGUUUUUAUUGCAUGGUGGUCUUUGUUGCUGGUUUAGUUGGAGGCUUCAUUUUAUUUCAGUAGUUCAUGUGUCGGGACAAAUUAGUGGUCUCUGGUGAUGUACUUGUUUGGUAUUGCAAUUAAAUGGAAAUGAUCAUGUUGGCAUCA